AAGUCGUAACAAGGUUUCCGUAGGUGAACCUGCGGAAGGAUCAUUAAUACGUAUCCAACGUUAAACCCCCCCUGUGAACUUUUACACUUGCUUCGAAGCGCGCUGGAAUUGCAAUCCCUGGUAAAUCAUUGUUGAACAGGUUUUGAUUCAGGGACCUCAGUUCUGGAGUAGCCUAGUUGAGCGAUCGUGCGCAAGUAACCUGGUUUCCCCAAGCAGUCAAUGUCUGAAAGUGUCAUUGAUUGUGUAAGGAUAACGCUUUUCGGUCACUGGAGGUCGACACCGGCCGGUGGACAGGUUGCAGUGGGCUUCACGCCCCCAUAUUAACCCCACUACCUGUAACGGCCUCGUAGGAAACUACUGGGCAACAAACGAACAACUGUUAACAAUGGAUAUCUUGGUUCUC
rnacentral:misc_RNA from 1 species